GAAGUAUUAGUAAAACAAUUACAUAACUCUGUCAAGGUUAAAUUAUAGGUUUAACCCCUAUGUACUUCC
ensembl:Mt_tRNA